rnacentral:rRNA from 1 species
UACGAAGGGUGCAAGCGUUACUCGGAAUUACUGGGCGUAAAGCGUGCGUAGGUGGUUGUUUAAGUCUGUUGUGAAAGCCCUGGGCUCAACCUGGGAACUGCAGUGGAAACUGGACAACUAGAGUGUGGUAGAGGGUAGCGGAAUUCCCGGUGUAGCAGUGAAAUGCGUAGAGAUCGGGAGGAACAUCCAUGGCGAAGGCAGCUACCUGGACCAACACUGACACUGAGGCACGAAAGCGUGGGGAGCGAACAGG